rnacentral:tRNA from 1 species
AGAGAGUUGUCCGAGUGGCUUAAGGAGCACGCUUGGAAAGCGUGUAUACCGCAAGGUAUCGAGGGUUCGAAUCCCUCACUCUCUG